GGCCGAACGCUGGCGGCGUGCUUAACACAUGCAAGUCGAACGGAAAGGCCCUGCUUUUGUGGGGUGCUCGAGUGGCGAACGGGUGAGUAACACGUGAGUAACCUGCCCUUGACUUUGGGAUAACUUCAGGAAACUGGGGCUAAUACCGGAUAGGAGCUCCUGCUGCAUGGUGGGGGUUGGAAAGUUUCGGCGGUUGGGGAUGGACUCGCGGCUUAUCAGCUUGUUGGUGGGGUAGUGGCUUACCAAGGCUUUGACGGGUAGCCGGCCUGAGAGGGUGACCGGCCACAUUGGGACUGAGAUACGGCCCAGACUCCUACGGGAGGCAGCAGUGGGGAAUAUUGCACAAUGGGCGGAAGCCUGAUGCAGCAACGCCGCGUGCGGGAUGACGGCCUUCGGGUUGUAAACCGCUUUCGCCUGUGACGAAGCGUGAGUGACGGUAAUGGGUAAAGAAGCACCGGCUAACUACGUG
rnacentral:rRNA from 1 species